GAUGAACGCUGGCGGCGUGCCUAAUACAUGCAAGUCGAGCGAACAGAUGAGGAGCUUGCUCCUCUGACGUUAGCGGCGGACGGGUGAGUAACACGUGGAUAACCUACCUAUAAGACUGGGAUAACUUCGGGAAACCGGAGCUAAUACCGGAUAAUAUAUUGAACCGCACGGUUCAAUAGUGAAAGACGGUUUUGCUGUCACUUAUAGAUGGAUCCGCGCCGCAUUAGCUAGUUGGUAAGGUAACGGCUUACCAAGGCAACGAUGCGUAGCCGACCUGAGAGGGUGAUCGGCCACACUGGAACUGAGACACGGUCCAGACUCCUACGGGAGGCAGCAGUAGGGAAUCUUCCGCAAUGGGCGAAAGCUUGACGGAGCAACGCCGCGUGAGUGAUGAAGGUCUUCGGAUCGUAAAACUCUGUUAUUAGGGAAGAACAAAUGUGUAAGUAACUAUGCACGUCUUGACGGUACCUAAUCAGAAAGCCACGGCUAACUACGUG
rnacentral:rRNA from 1 species